rnacentral:rRNA from 1 species
UACGUAGGGUGCAAGCGUUAAUCGGAAUUACUGGGCGUAAAGCGUGCGCAGGCGGUUGUGCAAGACAGAGGGGAAAUCCCCGAGCUUAACUUGGGAACUGCCUUUGUGACUGCAUAGCUAGAGUGUGUCAGAGGGGGGUAGAAUUCCACGUGUAGCAGUGAAAUGCGUAGAGAUGUGGAGGAAUACCGAUGGCGAAGGCAGCCCCCUGGGACGAUACUGACGCUGAGGCACGAAAGCGUGGGGAGCAAACAGG